rnacentral:rRNA from 1 species
GACGAACGCUGGCGGCGUGCUUAACACAUGCAAGUCGAACGGAAAGGCCCUGCUUUUGUGGGGUGCUCGAGUGGCGAACGGGUGAGUAACACGUGAGUAACCUGCCCUUGACUUUGGGAUAACUUCAGGAAACUGGGGCUAAUACCGGAUAGGAGCUCCUGCUGCAUGGUGGGGGUUGGAAAGUUUCGGCGGUUGGGGAUGGACUCGCGGCUUAUCAGCUUGUUGGUGGGGUAGUGGCUUACCAAGGCUUUGACGGGUAGCCGGCCUGAGAGGGUGACCGGCAAAAUUGGGACGGAGAUACGGCCCAGAUUCUUACGGGAGGCAGAAGUGGGGAAUAUUGCACAAUGGGCGGAAGCCGGCUGCAGCAAGGCGGCGUGCGGGAUGACGGCCUUCGGGUUGUAAACGGCUUUCGCCUGUGACGAAGCGUGAGUGACGGUAAUGGGUAAAGAAGCACCGGCUAACUACGU